CGAAUUUAUAUUCCUCCCAAAUACGUUGUCGUCUCAUAAUUCCAAGGCAUUGCCUUGGUGUUUUGAUACGGAAACAGACUAGGGACACGGAAAUGAAUUAGCUGAAUCCUUUUGGGAGGCACUUCAACCUUCUUUUUUCUGUACACAAUUGUUAUUGGUUCAAUUAUUACCACCUAUUCUGUUGCCUUAGACUUGGAGAACUAUAUCAAACCACGGU
rnacentral:lncRNA from 1 species